UCCUGGACCAGUAACUGCUGUUUCUUUUCUAUGUCUGCAAUCUGCACAUAGGAAGGUGGGGCAUAGCUAAGAGAUGCAGCAAAUGGAUCCUGCCCGAUGGUCUCGACAGUGCCAUCGGGUGCAGGCAGGGCAAGCACUGGAGUGGUCUUCUGACCAAGCCCGGGCAAGGCCACACUGCUUGCACUCCCAGUGCUCGUCUGGGCAUUCACAUGCUGCUUCACUGC
rnacentral:lncRNA from 1 species